rnacentral:sRNA from 1 species
UGUCCAGCGCACCCUCCCACACACAAACAUGUAUGCACAGAUACACCACACUCAGCACAACAAAAUCCUCAAAGAAAAUAAAAAUUAAGCCUUAUGAGUUGGACAUAGUAGUUCAGGCUUUCAACACAGCUGGCACGGGAAUGGUAAAAAGUUGGAAGCCGGACCGGGUUACACAAGAUCGUGCGUGCCUCAAAUAGCUAAAGUUAAAUAAGUCACGCUAAUAGAUAAAGAGAAAGGAAACAACACUACAUUUAAAAUAUAACAGAAGUCACAAGCGAACAUGAAAUACGUUCAAAGUACCUCCGGGUAACUUCUGUCCCUCCUUGCCUUUCACCCAUGUGUAGCUCUAGGGUAAAAAUACAGUAUCGGGGCGUGUGCUUCACGUGUGUGUCAGUCACCUGCUGACCUUGUAAAUGAGUCAGUGGAUCUUACAGGGUCCUUGAGAGAAUAAUGAAUUCCCACGUAAACCCAUGGGCUGGCUGCUUUGCUCACCAGAUUCCACCGUGUAGCGACAGAAGGGGCGGGUCCAGGACACACUGCUCCUGGCAACGGGCAACAGGCAAACUCCUUCUGCCCUCCGCCCCAAGACACUGCAUUUCCAUUUUUCAAAGCCCAGAUUCAGGACAGGAGUGUGAGUUAGUGCUAAAGGGACCAGGGUUCACCCGAGCCUCGGGAAGACCCUGCAUUUCUUCCCCUUGCACCUCCACCAGGAGCCAAAAAAGAAAGAAGGAGGAGAGAGAAGUUCAUAAUUACAAGAUUAGGCCGAUCAGAUUUCAUCCAUCCAUUCUGUCUUCUACAUGGGGUUUGUUUGAGCAUUCGGUGUGACACAAGGUAGAGCUGAAUCCGUCCUUUGUUUGCUAGAUGUACUCAGCUGUGGCCAACAACAGAGGUCUCCUUUCUGCUCUGUCCUUUGUUCAGGGCCUUUCCAAAACCUAGUCCUUUGAAAGGUCCCAAAGAAAGAGGAGGAUUCUGUAUUCUCAGAGGACCUGUGCCUCUGAAUAUGUGGCCAUUUUAUUAGGCAGCAGACUCGAGGUCUGCAAAUGUUUUUAUCUUGUAAUAUUGUUCUUCCUUUGUCCCCAAAUGAAGAAAGUAACCAAGUCUCCUGAAAACACAAUGCCUCAAAGCGAGACGAUUUAUUUCAGAGUUGAUUAUCAGUUGGUUUGCCAGAUAAACUACAGAACACAUAAUUCAGUUUUCAUUGUAGGAAAUCAAUGAAUUAAGAGGUUUUGUACAGAGGAACCUAGGGCCCUGGACAUGCCAAAUAUCUGCUCUAUCAGUGAGCUACAUUCCAGCCUGAACAUUUUUUUAAGUCUAAAUAUGUCUCAAAUAUUUAAUAAAACUGUUAAAAUUAUUUGUCUAAAAUUCAACAGAAGUGGAGAACCCUGUAUCUUAUGCAUUAAUUCUUGUCACCGCUUACUACUGGAAGAAGCCAGUUGCUAGGACUGACAAGUUUUAGCUCUCAGUUUGCAGUCGUGGUGAGGUUUCAAAGGAACAGCUCAGCAUUUGGCAUAGGCUACUAGUUCUGCCUAUGUCAUCAGCCAUAUUUCUCAUCAACCACUUAGCUUAACUGGGUGAGCAGUAGGAAGAAGGCUCCCCUAUUUAUUUUAUUUCUUACCUACUAGAGAAAUGGGGGCUUCCUGGAAAUGUGUAAAUGUAUCAGGCUUGGUCUAGUGGUAAUUCACCUGUUAGACAAACAGGAGGAAACAGUGCUAACCAUGAAGAUACUCUCACCAUGGGAGAAAAGCCCCUUCCCAGCCAGGCUCAGGCCCGAGUGCACCGUGCAGUAACCCGGAAACCAUUACAAAGCAACCUCGGUUCUGAGUCACUUAGUUUCGUGAGUUGGGGACCACCACUGCUGCCCAGCCUCAGCUGGCCACUGUACGGUCCAAAACUCAGCACGAUGUUUUCCUAGUUCAAAGGGUCACAGCUGGGGCCGAGCGGCGUGCAGAUGGGAAGGGAGGGGGCCAGGGAAGGACUCUGCUGCCUCUCCUCCCAAAGCAAAAUCUUUCCCUAAGUUCCUAGCGGCUCAGAACAUACCCUUCCUCAUCAGUGUGACCUGGGCCUUGAGACAGCACUCACCCAGGCUGACAAAGCAGGGGUGAGUGUGGAACCCCAGCUCUGUUCCUCACGACAGUGGAGCAAGUGUUUGAUCCACUCAGCCAUCUCCCCAGCCAUAGUAGAUACAAUGUCUAUAUCCACUGUGUUUAGGGAACUCAGCUCCAGGCCGUGACUCCCUAGGUCUUAGUCGGUGAGGUGAUUCGUAGCUGAAACAGCAACAGUUGAGUUACUGAUGCAGAGAGCGCGUGCAGCAAGCAUGAGACAAGCAGGGGCGACUCUGUCUCCAGACAAGGCUCCUGACCAAAGAAUCUGUCUACUAAAGUGUGUGUUAUCAUCGUGUGUGUGCAUGUUUGUGUGGUACGAGUGUGAAUGGCCGGACUCACGUGCCACAGUUGUGCAGGUAGAGGUCAUCUGUCAGCACCUUCUUUUCUUCUACUGUGGGUUCGAGGCCUAGAACUCAAGUCAUUUACCUUGGCAAAUGCGUUUACCCACCGAGCCAUCCUGCUGGCCCAAGAACGUCUUACCAGCACUGUUUCCAGGAUACCUCAUGGUUGGGUUACUGCGUACAUAGUGAAUUGAUAAGCAAAAUGUUAGUCCUGUGAGGACAACAUAUGUUGUUGACCUGGGAGUAUAAUAUCCCUUUUGGAGUUGAUUGGCCUUUU